rnacentral:misc_RNA from 1 species
ACAAGAGGAUAUAUAAAAAUAUAUAUAGAAGAAGAAGAGAAUCAAAGAGAAGAAAGAAUCAUUCUAGAAGAGCAGAGCUUGCAGAAUAUGUUGCUGUGUUGUCAAUGAAGAAAAUAGUUCAGAGCCUCAUGGGGUUCAUAGGUAGUCAUAGUCAUACAACCUUUGUUUCACUUUCAUACCACAGAGCUUGUCAAAUCUAUAUAUAUUUUUAUAUAUCCUCUUGU